UACGUAGGGUGCAAGCGUUAAUCGGAAUUACUGGGCGUAAAGCGUGCGCAGGCGGUUUUGUAAGUCUGUCGUGAAAUCCCCGGGCUCAACCUGGGAAUUGCGAUGGAGACUGCAAGGCUAGAAUCUGGCAGAGGGGGGGUAGAAUUCCACGUGUAGCAGUGAAAUGCGUAGAGAUGUGGAGGAACACCGAUGGCGAAGGCAGCCCCCCUGGGUCAAGAUUGACGCUCAUGCACGAAAGCGUGGGGAGCAAACGAGGAUUAGAAACC
rnacentral:rRNA from 1 species